rnacentral:sRNA from 2 species
ACGUGUAAUGAUAUCUGAUUACCAUAAAUAAAAUAAAAAGGAUCUUAAAAUUGAUGUAUCAUACAAUCUUUGGAAGAUAUGAGAAGAAGAUUUAGUAUAAAAGAGGAGAUAUGCAGGAGGAAUGUCAUUCAUUGUCCAAGCCAUCAGGAUAAAGUAUCCGUAUUCAAGUUCACAUGAAACUCGAGAAGCUUAGAAAAAGCUUGAUUCCCACAGCCUGUGGACGGAUGCUGGCUGAGGCUCUUAAAAGCGCGAAAAUGGUGAAAAGGCACCUGUUCUCAAGACAACAGAUAUGAUAGGGAGGCAAAUGGAGUAAGAGCAUGUCUGGCAAGGGGUGUUUGGGG